GGUCAAGUGAAGAAGCGCAUACGGUGGAUGCCUUGGCAGUCAGAGGCGAUGAAAGACGUGGUAGCCUGCGAAAAGCUUCGGGGAGUCGGCAAACAGACUUUGAUCCGGAGAUCUCUGAAUGGGGGAACCCACCUAGGAUAACCUAGGUAUCUUGUACUGAAUCCAUAGGUGCAAGAGGCGAACCAGGGGAACUGAAACAUCUAAGUACCCUGAGGAAAAGAAAUCAACCGAGAUUCCCUUAGUAGUGGCGAGCGAACGGGGAUUAGCCCUUAAGCUUCAUUGAUUUUAGCGGAACGCUCUGGAAAGUGCGGCCAUAGUGGGUGAUAGCCCCGUACGCGAAAGGAUCUUUGAAGUGAAAUCGAGUAGGACGGAGCACGAGAAACUUUGUCUGAACAUGGGGGGACCAUCCUCCAAGGCUAAAUACUACUGACUGACCGAUAGUGAACCAGUACCGUGAGGGAAAGGCGAAAAGAACCCCGGAGAGGGGAGUGAAAUAGAACCUGAAACCGUAUGCGUACAAGCAGUGGGAGCCUACUUGUUAGGUGACUGCGUACCUUUUGUAUAAUGGGUCAGCGACUUAUAUUCAGUGGCAAGCUUAACCGUAUAGGGUAGGCGUAGCGAAAGCGAGUCUUAAUAGGGCGUUUAGUCGCUGGGUAUAGACCCGAAACCGGGCGAUCUAUCCAUGAGCAGGUUGAAGGUUAGGUAACACUGACUGGAGGACCGAACCCACUCCCGUUGAAAAGGUAGGGGAUGACUUGUGGAUCGGAGUGAAAGGCUAAUCAAGCUCGGAGAUAGCUGGUUCUCCUCGAAAGCUAUUUAGGUAGCGCCUCAUGUAUCACUCUGGGGGGUAGAGCACUGUUUCGGCUAGGGGGUCAUCCCGACUUACCAAACCGAUGCAAACUCCGAAUACCCAGAAGUGCCGAGCAUGGGAGACACACGGCGGGUGCUAACGUCCGUCGUGAAAAGGGAAACAACCCAGACCGCCAGCUAAGGUCCCAAAGUUGUGGUUAAGUGGUAAACGAUGUGGGAAGGCUUAGACAGCUAGGAGGUUGGCUUAGAAGCAGCCAUCCUUUAAAGAAAGCGUAAUAGCUCACUAGUCGAGUCGGCCUGCGCGGAAGAUGUAACGGGGCUCAAACCACACACCGAAGCUGCGGGUGUCACGUAAGUGACGCGGUAGAGGAGCGUUCUUGUAAGCCUGUGAAGGUGAGUUGAGAAGCUUGCUGGAGGUAUCAGAAGUGCGAAUGCUGACAUGAGUAACGACAAUGGGUGUGAAAAACACCCACGCCGAAAGACCAAGGGUUCCUGCGCAACGUUAAUCGACGCAGGGUUAGUCGGUUCCUAAGGCGAGGCUGAAAAGCGUAGUCGAUGGGAAACAGGUUAAUAUUCCUGUACUUCUGGUUACUGCGAUGGAGGGACGGAGAAGGCUAGGCCAGCUUGGCGUUGGUUGUCCAAGUUUAAGGUGGUAGGCUGAAAUCUUAGGUAAAUCCGGGGUUUCAAGGCCGAGAGCUGAUGACGAGUCGUCUUUUAGAUGACGAAGUGGUUGAUGCCAUGCUUCCAAGAAAAGCUUCUAAGCUUCAGGUAACCAGGAACCGUACCCCAAACCGACACAGGUGGUCGGGUAGAGAAUACCAAGGCGCUUGAGAGAACUCGGGUGAAGGAACUAGGCAAAAUGGCACCGUAACUUCGGGAGAAGGUGCGCCGGCUAGGGUGAAGGAUUUACUCCGUAAGCUCUGGCUGGUCGAAGAUACCAGGCCGCUGCGACUGUUUAUUAAAAACACAGCACUCUGCAAACACGAAAGUGGACGUAUAGGGUGUGACGCCUGCCCGGUGCCGGAAGGUUAAUUGAUGGGGUUAGCGCAAGCGAAGCUCUUGAUCGAAGCCCCGGUAAACGGCGGCCGUAACUAUAACGGUCCUAAGGUAGCGAAAUUCCUUGUCGGGUAAGUUCCGACCUGCACGAAUGGCGUAACGAUGGCGGCGCUGUCUCCACCCGAGACUCAGUGAAAUUGAAAUCGCUGUGAAGAUGCAGUGUAUCCGCGGCUAGACGGAAAGACCCCGUGAACCUUUACUGUAGCUUUGCACUGGACUUUGAGCCUGCUUGUGUAGGAUAGGUGGGAGGCUUUGAAGCGUGGACGCCAGUUCGCGUGGAGCCAUCCUUGAAAUACCACCCUGGCAUGCUUGAGGUUCUAACUCUGGUCCGUGAUCCGGAUCGAGGACAGUGUAUGGUGGGCAGUUUGACUGGGGCGGUCUCCUCCUAAAGAGUAACGGAGGAGUACGAAGGUGCGCUCAGACCGGUCGGAAAUCGGUCGCAGAGUAUAAAGGCAAAAGCGCGCUUGACUGCGAGACAGACACGUCGAGCAGGUACGAAAGUAGGUCUUAGUGAUCCGGUGGUUCUGUAUGGAAGGGCCAUCGCUCAACGGAUAAAAGGUACUCCGGGGAUAACAGGCUGAUACCGCCCAAGAGUUCAUAUCGACGGCGGUGUUUGGCACCUCGAUGUCGGCUCAUCACAUCCUGGGGCUGAAGCCGGUCCCAAGGGUAUGGCUGUUCGCCAUUUAAAGUGGUACGCGAGCUGGGUUUAGAACGUCGUGAGACAGUUCGGUCCCUAUCUGCCGUGGACGUUUGAGAUUUGAGAGGGGCUGCUCCUAGUACGAGAGGACCGGAGUGGACGAACCUCUGGUGUUCCGGUUGUCACGCCAGUGGCAUUGCCGGGUAGCUAUGUUCGGAAAAGAUAACCGCUGAAAGCAUCUAAGCGGGAAACUUGCCUCAAGAUGAGAUCUCACUGGGAACUUGAUUCCCCUGAAGGGCCGUCGAAGACUACGACGUUGAUAGGCUGGGUGUGUAAGCGUUGUGAGGCGUUGAGCUAACCAGUACUAAUUGCCCGUGAGGCUUGACCAU
rnacentral:rRNA from 1 species